rnacentral:rRNA from 1 species
UACGUAGGGUGCGAGCGUUAAUCGGAAUUACUGGGCGUAAAGCGUGCGCAGGCGGUUAUUUAAGUCAGGUGUGAAAGCCCUGGGCUUAACCUAGGAAUUGCGCUUGAGACUGGAUAGCUUGGAGUGCGGCAGAGGGAGGUGGAAUUCCACGUGUAGCAGUGAAAUGCGUAGAGAUGUGGAGGAACACCGAUGGCGAAGGCAGCCUCCUGGGCCAGCACUGACGCUCGUGCACGAAAGCGUGGGGAGCGAACAGG